UAUGGUGUGUGCCAGCCGCCGCGGUAAUACGGAGGAUCCGAGCGUUAUCCGGAUUUAUUGGGUUUAAAGGGAGCGUAGGCGGACGCUUAAGUCAGUUGUGAAAGUUUGCGGCUCAACCGUAAAAUUGCAGUUGAUACUGGGUGUCUUGAGUACAGUAGAGGCAGGCGGAAUUCGUGGUGUAGCGGUGAAAUGCUUAGAUAUCACGAAGAACUCCGAUUGCGAAGGCAGCUUGCUGGACUGUAACUGACGCUGAUGCUCGAAAGUGUGGGUAUCAAACAGG
rnacentral:rRNA from 1 species